rnacentral:lncRNA from 1 species
AGCUGCAUUUUAAAGAAAUUCUCAGCCAGGCAUGAGCCACUGCGCUCAGCCCAGAAAAUAAGAGAAUAUAUUCAAGUUGUAAACUAAACAAAGGAUUUUGAAACUGGCAGCUCAUUUUUUAGAGAUGGGGUCUCACUUUGUUGCCAAGGCUGGAGUGCAGUGGCUAUUCACAGGCGCUAUCAUAGCCCAAUAAUGCCUCAAACUCCUGGCCUCAAGGGAUCCUCCCGCCUCAGCCUCUCCAGUAGUUGGGAUUACAGGCACAUGCACCAGGACAAGCUAAAUUUUUUUUGUUGUUUGUUUACCUUUCCUUAUUCCUUUCCCAUUGCUUUUCUUUAUAUAGAACUGAGUUUCCAGCCAGGCACAGUGGCUCACACCUGUAAUCCUAGCACUUUGAGAGCCCGAACAGGCAGAUUGCCUAAGGUCAGGGGUUCAAGACCAGCCUGGCCAACCUGGCGAAACACCAUCUCUACUAAAAAUACAAAAAUUAGAUGGGUGUGGUGGCGGUCACCUAUAAUCCCAGCUACUGGGGAGGCUGAGGCAGGAAAAUUGCUUGAACCUGGGGGGCAGAGGUUGCAGUGAGCCGAGAUCGUGCCACUUAAUUCCAG